GGCAAUAUAGCCAAGCGGUGAUGUGGCAGACUAGAAAUCUGUUCCCCUUAUGGGGCGUGGGUUCGAAACCUACUCGCAUUGCCA
rnacentral:tRNA from 1 species